AUUGAACGCUGGCGGCAGGCCUAACACAUGCAAGUCGAACGGUAACAGAAAGCAGCUUGCUGCUUUGCUGACGAGUGGCGGACGGGUGAGUAAUGUCUGGGAAACUGCCCGAUGGAGGGGGAUAACUACUGGAAACGGUAGCUAAUACCGCAUAACGUCGCAAGACCAAAGAGGGGGACCUUCGGGCCUCUUGCCAUCGGAUGUGCCCAGAUGGGAUUAGCUUGUUGGUGGGGUAACGGCUCACCAAGGCGACGAUCCCUAGCUGGUCUGAGAGGAUGACCAGCCACACUGGAACUGAGACACGGUCCAGACUCCUACGGGAGGCAGCAGUGGGGAAUAUUGCACAAUGGGCGCAAGCCUGAUGCAGCCAUGCCGCGUGUAUGAAGAAGGCCUUCGGGUUGUAAAGUACUUUCAGCGGGGAGGAAGGGAGUAAAGUUAAUACCUUUGCUCAUUGACGUUACCCGCAGAAGAAGCACCGGCUAACUCCGUG
rnacentral:rRNA from 1 species